rnacentral:rRNA from 1 species
CCGUAAGGCGCCGAAUGAGUCAUUAAAAAAUUAACAUCAUCCGAUCCCUAGUCGGCAUAGUUUAUGGUUAAGACUACGACGGUAUCUGAUCGUCUUCGAUCCCCUAACUUUCGUUCUUGAUUAAUGAAAACAUCCUUGGCAAAAUGCUUUCGCAGUAGUUAGUCUUCAAUAAAUCCAAGAAUUUCACCUCUGACAAUUGAAUACUAAUGCCCCCAACUAUCCCUAUUAAUCAUUACGUCAAUCCUAGAAACCAACAAAUAGGAUCGAACGUCCUAUUCAUUAUCCAUGCUAAUGUAUUCAAG